rnacentral:rRNA from 1 species
UACGUAGGGUGCAAGCGUUGUCCGGAAUUAUUGGGCGUAAAGAGCUCGUAGGCGGUCUGUCGCGUCUGCUGUGAAAAUCCAGGGCUCAACCCUGGACCUGCAGUGGGUACGGGCAGACUAGAGUGCGGUAGGGGAGAUCGGAAUUCCUGGUGGAGCGGUGAAAUGCGCAGAUAUCAGGAGGAACACCCGUAGCGAAGGCGGCACUCUGGGCCGAUACUGACACUGAGGAGCGAAAGCGUGGGGAGCGAACAGG